GCCAGGCGUGGUGGCGCGUGCCUGUAAUCCCAGCUACUCUGGAGGCUGAGGCAGGAGAAUUGCUUGAACCCAGGAGGUGGAGGUUGCAGUGAGCCGAUAUUGCGCCACUGCGCUCCAGCCUGGGUGACAGAGCAAGACUCCAUCUCAA
ensembl:misc_RNA Metazoa_SRP Metazoan signal recognition particle RNA